rnacentral:rRNA from 1 species
AUUGAACGCUGGCGGCAUGCCUUACACAUGCAAGUCGAACGGCAGCACGGGUGCUUGCACCUGGUGGCGAGUGGCGAACGGGUGAGUAACACAUCGGAACAUGUCCUGUAGUGGGGGAUAGCCCGGCGAAAGCCGGAUUAAUACCGCAUACGAUCUACGGAUGAAAGCGGGGGACCUUCGGGCCUCGCGCUAUAGGGUUGGCCGAUGGCUGAUUAGCUAGUUGGUGGGGUAAAGGCCUACCAAGGCGACGAUCAGUAGCCGGUCUGAGAGGACGACCAGCCACACUGGGACUGAGACACGGCCCAGACUCCUACGGGAGGCAGCAGUGGGGAAUUUUGGACAAAGGGCGAAAGCCUGAUCCAGCAAUGCCGCGUGUGUGAAGAAGGCCUUCGGGUUGUAAAGCACUUUUGUCCGGAAAGAAAUCCUUGGCCCUAAUACGGUCGGGGGAUGACGGUACCGGAAGAAUAAGCACCGGCUAACUACGUG